GAAACUUCUACGGGAGUUUUCUCUUAAAACAAAUGCCUCUAACUCGUCAUCUAAAAUUGUCGGACAAAGUCCGAGAAAUAUACUGCGUCUACGGACGCUCGAGAAACUUCUACGGGAGUUUUCUCUUAAAACAAAUGACUCUAACUCGUCAUCUAAAAUUGUCGGACAAAGUCCGAGAAAUAUACGGCGUCUACGGACGCUCGAGAAACUUCUACGGGAGUUUUCUCUUAAAACAAAUGACUCUAACUCGUCAUCUAAAAUUGUCGUACAAAGUCCGAAAUAAUAACAAAUUCCUCGGCAUCUAUGAUGUCGGACAAAGUCCGAGAGACCA
rnacentral:lncRNA from 1 species